rnacentral:rRNA from 1 species
GAUGAACGCUGGCGGCGUGCCUAAUACAUGCAAGUCGAGCGAAUGGAUUAAGAGCUUGCUCUUAUGAAGUUAGCGGCGGACGGGUGAGUAACACGUGGGUAACCUACCCAUAAGACUGGGAUAACUCCGGGAAACCGGGGCUAAUACCGGAUAAUAUUUUGAACUGCAUGGUUCAAAAUUGAAAGGCGGCUUCGGCUGUCACUUAUGGAUGGACCCGCGUCGCAUUAGCUAGUUGGUGAGGUAACGGCUCACCAAGGGAACGAUGCGUAGCCGACCUGAGAGGGUGAUCGGCCACACUGGGACUGAGACACGGCCCAGACUCCUACGGGAGGCAGCAGUAGGGAAUCUUCCGCAAUGGACGAAAGUCUGACGGAGCAACGCCGCGUGAGUGAUGAAGGCUUUCGGGUCGUAAAACUCUGUUGUUAGGGAAGAACAAGUGCUAGCUGAAUAAGCUGGCACCUUGACGGUACCUAACCAGAAAGCCACGGCUAACUACGUGCCAGCCGCCGCAGUAC